UUUCCGUAGGUGAACCUGCGGAAGGAUCAUUACUGAAGACAUAGGGCUUGAGAAUGCGUCCAAAAUGGCGCAUGCUCAACCCUUACUCUUUCAUCCACACACACCUUUGUGCACCAUGGGAACGAAAAAGUUCCCCUUUUCACAUAAAUACCAAGUUAUAUGCAUGUUUUUAUACACUCUACGGAGUAAUGUACAACUUUCAACAACGGAUCUCUUGGCUUUCGCAUCGAUGAAGAACGCAGCGAACGUGCGAAACGUAAUGUGAAUUGCAGAAUUCAGUGAAUCAUCGAAUCUUUGAACGCAUCUUGCGCUCCUUGGUAUUCCGAGGAGCAUGCCUGUUUGAGUGUCACGAAUAACUCUCAACUUCAAUCUUUUUUGAUUGAAAUUGGACUUGGGUGUUGUUGUGGGGUAUCAUUACAACUCAUCCUAAAUGCAUUAGCGAUCUGCCUACGAUCACACGCAAUGUGAUAAGAAAAAGCAUUGUUGGGAUCGAUUUAGGUUGCUUCUAACCGUCGAAAGACAAGCAUAUAUCAUGUCGUUUGACCUCAAAUCAGUAAGAUUAACCCGCUGAA
rnacentral:rRNA from 1 species